rnacentral:rRNA from 1 species
GAUGAACGCUGGCGGUAUGCUUAAUACAUGCAAGUCGUACGAGAACUUUUAGUUCUAGUGGCGGACGGGUGAGUAACACGUGAGAAUCUGCCCUUAGGAGGAGGAUAACAGCUGGAAACGGUUGCUAAUACUCCAUAUGCCGAGAGGUGAAAGGAUUUAUCUGCCUAAGGAGGAGCUCGCGUCUGAUUAGCUAGUUGGUAGGGUAAUAGCCUACCAAGGCGACGAUCAGUAGCUGGUUUGAGAGGAUGAUCAGCCACACUGGGACUGAGACACGGCCCAGACUCCUACGGGAGGCAGCAGUAGGGAAUUUUCCGCAAUGGGCGAAAGCCUGACGGAGCAAUACCGCGUGAGGGAUGACGGCCUGUGGGUUGUAAACCUCUUUUCUCAAGGAAGAAGCUCUGACGGUACUUGAGGAAUAAGCAUCGGCUAACUCUAUGCCAGCAGCCGCGGUAAUACAGAGGAUGCAAGCGUUAUCCGGAAUCACUGGGCAUAAAGCGUCUGUAGGUGGUUUAGUAAGUCUGCUGUUAAAGACUGGGGCUCAACCCCAGAAAAGCAGUGGAAACUGCUAGACUUGAGUGUGGUAGAGGUAGAGGGAAUUCCUAGUGUAGCGGUGAAAUGCGUAGAUAUUAGGAAGAACACCAAUGGCGAAGGCACUCUACUGGGCCAUAACUGACACUGAGAGACGACAGCUAGGGGAGCAAAUGGGAUUAGAUACCCCAGUAGUCCUAGCCGUAAACGAUGGAUACUAGAUGUUGCACGUAUUAACCCGUGCAGUAUCGUAGCUAA